rnacentral:misc_RNA from 1 species
GUAGGUGAACCUGCGGAAGGAUCAUUACAAAUUAUAGCGUGGUGCGUGGAUUAUGAUUGUUAAAGAUUGUAAUCGCGCACUACAUAAGCCCACUCCUGAAAGGGAGAUGGACGCAUGCAGCAAUGUGUGCAAAUAGACAUUAAAUCAUGACUUAUUCCAAAAAGAAAAUAACCAAAACUUUUAACAAUGGAUCUCUUGGCUCUU